UUCUCGAGGAAAGUAGGCAAUUGAUGCGCUUGCCACCUCGUCAGUCAACUGCUGAAGCUGAUCUUAUGGUCCCCUUUUAGCUGGCAGCAAUAAAGACCAUAAGUGAGGAAGACAAAUAUUUUUCCAGAGUAUCUCUGCAGUUAUUUCUACUUGUUGACAGUUUUAAUAAUUGUUAUUAAGGAUGAUCAUAUUAUAGCAAUCGACUUUAAACUUAAUUCUCUUUCAUUUAAGUGCUCAAUCUUCGAUCACUCUUUCAUUAGAAGUUUCACCGACAGAUCUAUCCGUGGUAGCUGACUUUAAUCUUCAGUAAAGUCAUUAAUCUUUGACCAAUUUAUUCUUGUGAGUUAUAUUUUCUCAUUGUCUCUCAUCAUGUUGUGCAAUUGAGCUCCAUUAACUUGCAAGAAACGGGCACCUUCACCUGGAGAUUCUCUAAUAUAUUUUAUUCUCACACAGGGUGUUGUGUUAAAAGUUUGAAAACAGCUGAUUGUGAGGUUGGGAAUUUCUUUUCUUUUUGUUUUCCUUAAUUAAGUAUAUAUAGUUUAACUGCCAAAAGGUUUUCUGCAGGUUGAUGCGAUAGAAUCACUAUAGAAUGUUCUGCAAGGACGCAUUCAAGACUCUCAUGACUUCGCAGAACUUGUAGGCUUCCAUCAAGAGUUAAACUUGAUUUUUUUGGUGCAAAUUGCAUAUGGAUGGAAAACUUAUCGAGUUAGGAGCACAGGGAUUCAAACGGUUUGUCAUUUAGAGCCCGGACGAGGAAGAUAUGACCCAAUGAAGUUAAGCGCGCAGUGCAGAAAAACUGAUUCGGACGGCCCCAGCCGUGGAAAAAGAGGGCUGCGGCCCUUCAGUUCAGAUGAUCCGACCAAAAUUUGUCAUUCUUGAUAUUUUGCAUGGGUCCUGAGUAUAUUUGGAGAAGAAAAUAAAGAUGGAGAUAUUUUGAUUUAUUUGGUUAAUAUUGUUGGGUCUUAGGAAAUAUAUUAUUUGAUGCUUAAGAUAGGAAACUGAAUUUCAAGUAUUAGAAAAUUAGAUUUGCAGUAUUUUGAUGCCUUUAUCCCUUAUAAAAGGCGAGGCUGGGGUAUGAGUUUCAUGUGGACGACAUCAGGAGGCAAAGAUCAACUUGAGUAAAAAGUCGAAGGGUCGGAUAUUGACGGCAGCAUCUAUUUCUUUUAA